rnacentral:lncRNA from 1 species
GCACUCAGCAGUUCUUUCCUGUUGGGUGUUCAAAAGACAGUGCGAUAGAAAUUCAUUAUCUGGCAUCGUUGGUUUCUUGGCUUUGUGCAUGUUAAACCUGGUAUUUCUAAUGAUACAGUUUAUUUCAUAUGUACAUAUUUCUUCUGGAUGUGGGUUCUGGGGAAUAAUUGGUCUUUAAAACUUGGUUGCCUGCUGAGUGAACCAUUCCUUUUCUUCCUAGGGCGUCACAAGGGAAACCUACCUUAAAAUGGUUUUUAAAGCUAAUUGAAGAAGGGUCCCUAAAUUAAAGUAAAUUGAAGAAAUCCACAAAUCUUCUGGCUAAGAACUUAGAAGUUGCCAAUGACUGUUGGAAAAGACAGAUAAAAGAGGGCUAAAAAUAAAAAGCACAACUGGAUGCCCUUGAGGAAAGGGCUAUUUUCAGAGUGCCUGGAUGGACAGCAAAGAAAUCAAACCAACCACUUAAAUAAAAAUUUAUUGACAAUAAAUAAUUUUAUACAUUAAAAAAGAACCCUUAACAC